ACUCCUGCGGGAGGCAGCAGUGGGGAAUAUUGCACAAUGGGCGCAAGCCUGAUGCAGCGACGCCGCGUGGGGGAUGAAGGCCUUCGGGUUGUAAACUCCUUUCGCUAGGGACGAAGCUUUUUUGUGACGGUACCUAGAUAAGAAGCACCGGCUAACUACGUGCCAGCAGCCGCGGUAAUACGUAGGGUGCGAGCGUUGUCCGGAAUUACUGGGCGUAAAGGGCUCGUAGGUGGUUUGUCGCGUCGUCUGUGAAAUUCUGGGGCUUAACUCCGGGCGUGCAGGCGAUACGGGCAUAACUUGAGUGCUGUAGGGGUAACUGGAAUUCCUGGUGUAGCGGUGAAAUGCGCAGAUAUCAGGAGGAACACCGAUGGCGAAGGCAGGUUACUGGGCAGUUACUGACGCUGAGGAGCGAAAGCAUGGGUAGCGAACAGGAUUAGAAACCCGUGUAGUCCCAUGAU
rnacentral:rRNA from 1 species